UACGUAGGGGCAAGCGUUGUCCGGAAUCAUUGGGCGUAAAGAGCGUGUAGGCGGCCAGAUAAGUCCGCUGUGAAAUCUCGAGGCUCAACUUCGAGCUGUCGGUGGAAACUGUCUGGCUAGAGUCCGGAAGGAGGAGAAUGGAAUUCCCGGUGUAGCGGUGAAAUGCGCAGAUAUCGGGAAGAACACCCGUGGCGAAGGCGGCUCUCGUGGGACGGUACUGACGCUGAGACGCG
rnacentral:rRNA from 1 species